AAGGUCCAUGUUCCUGACCUCCCUUGGAACUCUGGGAAGAAAGCAGCAGCUUUCCAGCGGCCCCAAACCACACUGGCCUGUGACCACGGCGCUCCCAAGCAGGGCAGGGAGAGCCUCAGAAACAGCUUUCACACGCCAGCUUCGACUCCCACAAGGCCCGACUGCCGAGCUGAGGACACAGCAGUCCAGCAAGAGAAGUUCACAGGCAACAAGGGAACAGUGGGGUUUCAACCAUCCCAGGAGGGACUGGACCGUGGGUUAAGUAAACUUAGCUCGUACAUCAGUGGUCAGAGAAGUGAAGUGUGAAUUAAAUUUUCCAGCCCUGUUGCAUACUCAGAAAUAAAGGAUCUCCCGCUGGUCUGUCUAACUGAAGACAAUGACCUCAACAGAGGAACGGGAGUUCCAUGGUUUUCAUUCUCCUUCCGAGCCCUUUUCUUCCUGGGCGCACAGCAUCCUCCUUCUCCUGGCCUCUUCCUGCCUGAGAACACUGAGUGCAGCUGAGGAAAGAGCACUCUCUUCCUACACAUUGUGUCUUGUGAGGAGGGCAAUGCUGCCCCCUGCUGGCUCCAGGAUGAAACACCAACCCACGGGGGCGACCAAGUUCCUUCUGUUUCCCUGUAGGUAGGCUCUUAGAUCUGAAUGGGCCCUGUUCCCUUUUCCAAAACAGCUUCUGGCCUGUCUUGACUUGGUUAUCUGGCGAUAAGGCUGAAGAAUCACCAUCCCCCUUACCAACCGUUUGGAACUUUAUUUGGCCAUCAAUGUAAAUCCACAUGACUGUACAGAGUUUGUGCAGGUGACGCUGGGAACACUGGCCCCUAGAGUAGAGUUCAUUUAGUGACUUUUAAUUUUUGUUUCCUAGACAGCGUGGAUAUGGCAUGGAAUGUUCUUCGUUCCUAAUAGUCUGGAUACUUUUGUUAGUUCUGGUUUCUAUGAUCUCAUUGGGGUCUCCUUCAGAGCAAAUCCCCAAACUCUUUGCAAGGUGGGAUCCUCCGAGCCCACUCACUGUAAGAAGGGGGCAUGGGAGAGAGAGAGAAAAAGAAGGGGAGGGAGAAGGGGAGAUGUAUAAUGAGGGGGAAUGGGGUACAUGUGUAGAUGUCUGUUCUAGUGAAUAGUAACAGUUAACACCGUCUGGAAUCACCUGAGACACUUUCUUUAUCACGUUGGUCUGUGAACAUGUCUGCAAGAGACUGUAUUGUGAUGUGCUAGGGCCUAGCCCACUGUGAAUGGCGCCAUUUCCUGGGCAAGUGGUCCCGAGCUGUGUUAAAAAGCUACUGAGCUGGGCUGGAGAGAUGGCUCAAUGGUUAAGAGCAUGGACUGC